rnacentral:rRNA from 1 species
GAUGAACGCUAGCGGCAGGCUUAAUACAUGCAAGUCGAGGGGCAGCACAGUGUAGCAAUACAUGGGUGGCGACCGGCAAACGGGUGCGUAACACGUACACAACUUACCCUUUACUGGGGGAUAGCCCAGGGAAACUUGGAUUAAUACCCCAUAUUGCAAAUGACCGGCAUCGGUUGUUUGCCAAAGUUCCGACGGUAAAGGAUGGGUGUGCGGUUGAUUAGGUAGUUGGCGGGGUAACGGCCCACCAAGCCUGCGAUCAAUAGCUGAUGUGAGAGCAUGAUCAGCCACACGGGCACUGAGACACGGGCCCGACUCCUACGGGAGGCAGCAGUAAGGAAUAUUGGGCAAUGGACGCAAGUCUGACCCAGCCAUGCCGCGUGAAGGAUGAAGGU